rnacentral:lncRNA from 1 species
ACUUGGCACCCCUUACGCCUUACGGUGGCCGCUGCGCCCAGUCACAUCUAUUGCAUUUCUCUGGAAUGACCACAGCAAUAUUUCCAGCCCUUGAUGAUCUUCUAGAACUUUGCCACUUCCCUGCAUCAAGAGAGCCAUGGAGAAGAGGAGACAGAGUGUGCAAGGGAAUGAAGAAAAGGAACAAGACUAUUUUCAAAUCACCCAUGGCACUACUAGAAAUGUAUUUCAGCAAAAGGACUGGCUGAUUUUAUGAUUCCUGUGUCCACCACAGCCCUCUAAUUUUUACAUAGGUACCCCACAUCUCUCUAGAUUUCAGGAAGACUAUUAUCCUUCGACUUUAGCUUUCUGAUGGGUUCACAAAAAGCCAUUAGUGUGCUGUUGGUCCAGCUUUUUUCUGUUGCAAAUAUGAGAGCUACAGUUCUGAGAUGAAACCACAGAUAUUAAAAGGAAUCCAAUUGAACCAAGAAAGAACAUGCUGUAAGAAAUAGUUCAAUAGCAGAAGAUCCUUUAAUAGUAUGUGAAAGGAGAAAUAUUCUCAUAGUGAUGAAAAGAAGAAAAGAAAAGGAAAACCUGUAGGAUUUUAGAGCACCCUGACCAUCUGACCCAGGCAGACACUUCUAAGAGCUGCAUGGAACUGUAUUUAAGAUCGACAGGAAUAAAACUGUCCAUCUUAUCUUACUUUUCUUUUACAUACCCUUAGACUUCUCUCUAUUAUUCAUUGGCAACUCCAGCUCUUGAACUCCGAAAAUUCCACCGAUGCCAUUUGAGCAUUGAGAAAAUAUACUUUUCAUUUUAAGUUACAUCUUCCUACUGUUUGUAGAUGUUACGUGUAUUCCAUUGCUAAGGAAUCAUUGUCUUUGCCUGAGGAAAAAGACAGUUUAAAAAUAACUUGUGUUGUGAUUAGAAAAGUCUUUGUAUAAAGAUACCUGAAAGAGAGAGAAUGCACAGGCACCUGUAUAACACAUGAUGGGUGAUAGUUUUCAACUGUGCUUGGCGGGGAAACAUUUUGUUUUGUAUAGAAAUACAGUGUAGACAAGAAAAAAAGUGGUAUGUUAAUGUGAGGCAUAUUGGAAUGUAUUUAAGUAUAUCUGUUGUUAACAAACUGGAUAAAUCCACUAAAUAGAUAACAUAUGAAAUUUACAGGCUGCAGGUGGCCAUGGGUCCUCUUUUUCACCUGUUAGUGAUGGUGGUGGAGGGGAAGGACGGCAUAGGGGAGUAAGGGAAAUAGUAUUUCCACCAGGAGAAUUUUGAAACUGACAUGUAAGAAAAUACUGUAUUUUCUAUUCAUACCAGUUAUGCUUCAUACAGAUAUUGGGUGAUUGUGAAGUUAUUGUUUGUAAGUCCCUACUAUGGUGUUGACUCUAUACACUUUACCAUAUGCCCAGUGUGGGGUGUGUUUGGAUGUCUUAGUGUGAGUCCAAGAAUUCCAGGGAAUUCAAGAUAUUUUGCAGCAUCAUUCUUUAUUUCAAAGUCUAGUCUAGACUUUUAAAUAUUUGAAUAUAUUGGACUGUAAACAAAACAAUAUCUUGUUGAAAAGAACAACCAUCUCCAUGCAACCUGAAUGGAUGGAAGCAGUAUUAUCUUUAGUCGAAAUCUGAAACAAAAUCUUUAGUCCAAAUCUGAAACAAAAUCUGCUUCACCAAACUUUCUUGCAGACAAGCAGACUGCUUUGUUUGAAAAUGUGAGAUUGGAAAAUCUGGUUGGAAGUUUUACCUUAAAAUUUUUUCUUCCUAUGGGGAGGGCAUGGGCUCUCCGGUAACUCUUUGUUCUGGCAGCAGGAGGAAGGACAUGGCGCUGGUGUCCCGGCUGGAGGAGCCAAGGGUUACCCGGUACCUUUUAUUUUCACAUUAAAACACUAUAGAGAAAAGGAUCUGGCUCUCCACCUUUUAAUAUUGCUCAGUCAUUUCUUUAUACUUUGUGCUUCAGUGAGCACAGUAUGUGGUUUGCUAGGGAAGCUAUUAAAAAGAAAACCCUUCAGUUUUAUGGAUUUUGUCGAAAUCUACAGUGAAUGCAUGUUUUUUAAUUCCUUCACAACUACUGUAAUUCUCUAAACCUUGGUGAGGACAUGCUCAAAAAUUGGCUCAUAAUUUGUAAUUUAACAAGUGACAGAAUAUUUUGACAUUAGUAAAUGAAGGGAAAUGUUUUAUAUAACAAACCAUGAUCGUGGCUUUCCAUUUUGGUCAUUUGUACUGAGCAGAUUGUCACAAUCAAAGCUCUGGCUGUUAGAAGCCUAGGCCAGUUUUGUUGAAACUUUCCGGGUAACUAAGAUCAUUCAGGCUUGGCCUUGUAUUAUAUUUAGAUUAAAGUGGUUAUCCCCUCUUUGUGUUCAGAAUGCCCACCCCUCUCCCAUCUUUCUUUUUGCUCUAACUUACAUAAACUUUUUUGCAUGUUUAUUUAUAAUUCGUAGCCUAUAUUCACCUCUGGGUUUUAACUUCUUGCAUUUCAUUUCUUAAGAGUCCUUCUCAGCAUUUCACCAUCUCCUAAGUGUUAGUGAGUAAAGGAUGGCAAGAAACUUGACAGAGAAGGUGUUAGUGGGUCAGGGAAAAGUCCAGUGUGGAGGCUAUAGUCUUAUGGGAUGGUAGAGGCCAUACUUCUGGUGACUGUAUUCAUCAUCCACUUGGAUUCUCUCUCACACAGAGUCUGAUUUAGCGUAGACAGUGUCAUCUUUUAGUUGGCUUAGAAAAGCUUGACCCCAAAUGUACUCUGAGAAGUCCUUAAAAAUAAAUUUGUAUUAAUCCAGUAAUUCUCUAGAUAAGAAACUUAAAAUUCUGUAGGAAGUAUGUGUGACAUACAGAAAUAAGUGAAAUGGAUGACAAUGAAACUAACAUUGCUUUUUAAAUCACCAUAUGUGCAUAAAAUACACAUGCAUAAAUAAGGCCCACUGGCUGGCUGAGUAUGACUCAUGUUUUAUACUCAUUUUGUUUUCUUGCAAUAAGAAAGCUUAACUGGGUAAUAAAGCUCCCUCUCUUCUGGUCCCUGAGAAACCAACCUCACAGCUGCAGGUCCCAUUUUUAGCUAGGACAAAUCUCAUCUUAUUUAACCAAUCUUUCCAUAAGUGGCUUCGUUGAGGAAGUUAUUACUUUCUGUGGUCUAAAUUGCCUAACAGAAAGUCAUUUUACCUAAAUCCUAGGACCCCUGUGGGAAAAUCCCAAUUGGUUACUGUGCCUGUAAACUAAAUAAGGUACUGACUGGCUCCUCCUUUUAAGCAGAACUAGUUUUAAGAUCUUCUCUUACAUCACCUUAGUUAAACUUGAAAAUUUCCUGUUUGUUAUAGCGAGAAAAGCAACUCAAUUCUCCUAUUUCUAAAUAUUGUUAGAAAGGGUCUGCUGUUGAAUACAAUUCAAUUCCUAGGACUGUUGUGGGGAAAUCUGAAUGAAUAUGUUGCAUAUUGACCUAGAAAUAUAUUGUAAAAUGUGAUUUAUUUGCAAAGAAGCUCUGAAAUUCUGUGCUGUUCGUGAGAUACUGCUCCUUUUGUAAACGUUAAAAGCCACAAAUCUUUUUUUCUUGUCAAUUCAAUUGAAUACUUAAGAGGAUUGCAUAAUAAUUAUCCUUUAAAAAAUAGGAUUAAUAUUUAACUGUGUUCAGCAAAAUUAAUUGAAAGCUUCUGCAGUUCAGGCACAAAAAUAGUUGUCCAAGUAAACUGCAAAGGCUCCAUGUUGCAAAAUUAUUUAAGCAUAUAAUAAUUUUACCUUUCACUUGUGUAUGACAUUUUACAGAUAACUCACUAUUAAUAAGUAUGUAUUAAGGUAAUUAUAAGUACAUUCUGCUUUUAUAGUUAUAAAUAAGCCUUCUGGUUCCCCACAAUAGAGCUUAUUAUUAUCCCCUUAAUGUGGAAGAGUAAAUGGAGGCAAAGAUUGAGCAUUAAUUGUAGGACUGUCAUCUAUCUAAGCUGAUUAGUAUAUGGUGAAGGGAUUAAUAUCUCUGAAUAGAUUAUAAUUUUGAUAUCUAUGACUUAUCUCUAAUAAUGUUCAAUUCUUUACCAUAUCAGCAAAAUGGAAUCAUUUGCAGUUAAAAAAAUACCCUUGUAAUGGCUUUAAAACACGACCAAUCGAUUCUCUGAUACUCCUUCAUUAAGAGGUAGGAUCUUUAUCCCUUUUCCUUGAAUUAGGGCCUUGUGACUGUUUGACUAAUAGAACACAAUGAAAGUCCCACUGUGCCCAUUUCUGGCUUGGGCUUUAAGAAGCUAGCAGCUUCUAUUUCCUAUCUCUUAGGAUCAUUGCUCUUGGAACCCAGCUACCAUGCCACAAGGAAACCUAAGCAGCCAGUGCAAAACCCCUCAUGGGCACCUGCACAUAGCUCUAGUUGAACUUCUAGUUGAUAGCCAGCUCCCACUUGCCAGCCAUAUGAGUGAGUCAUCCUGAAAGCAGGUCCUCCAGCCCUCCCUCAGCUGAGCUGCCCUUGAUGACAUUGUGUGGAGCACAGAUUAAUGAUUCCUGUUGAUCCCUGCCCAAAUUUUAGAUUUGUAAGGAAAAUAAAUGAUUACUGUUUUUUAAGCCACUAAGUUUUGAGGUGUCUUUUUUUUUUUUUUCUUUUUGGAGACAGAGUCUCACUCUGUUGCCCAGGCUGGAGUGCAGUGGUGUGAUCUCAGCCCACUGCAACCUCCGCCUCCUGGGUUCAAGUGAUUCUCCUGCCUCAGCCUCCCAAGUAGCUGGGAUUACAGGCACCUGCCACCACGCCUGGCUAAUUUUUGUAUUUCAGUAGAGAUGGGGUUUCACCAUGUUGGUCAGGCUGGUCCCGAAUUCCUGACCUCAAACGAUCUGCCCACCUCAGCCUCCCAAAGUGUUGGGAUCACAGGCAUGAGCCACUGCUCCUGACCCUGAGGUGAUUUUUAAUGCAACAAUAGAUAACUGGAGCAUGCUCUAAGGAAAUGGCAACGUUCCUAGCUCUCUUCUCUUCAGUGUCACCAAAGCUAGGUGCUGUUCUACAGUUUAACUCUUGAUGCUAAUGGCUUGGAAAGAAAGAGAGUGAACACAACAGGUUUCCAGGGGGAGGCUCGGAGUUCUUACUCAGUAUUGGUGGGACUGUACUUGUUUUAGGAUGAUGCAUCAUAGCCUAAUCUAAUUUACUGAGCAUCUACUAAGUGCCAAGCACAGUUGUAGCUCUAACAGGGCCAGCUUUGCUGUUUCUAGUUCUGCUUAGGCUACUAACCCACCAUGUGGUCUCGACAGACUAUGCUGAGCUAAAGUAUCCCAUUUCUUUUUCUGUGUAAAAUAAGAGGGCUUGGAUAAAUGUUCUCUCAGGUUCUUCCAGCUCAAACACAAUAUUAUUUAUUCCUUAUAUAUUCUGAAUAUGUAUACUUUAAAACUUUAGCUGCUCCACUUGAAAAUCUAAGUUUUUAUUGUCCUCCUCAAAGGACUCCUUGCUUCAUUAUCUAAUGUUUUUCCCUUUGAAGAGAGUAUUUCAUUCCUAAGAGGGGUUUAAAAGAAGAUUCACCUGGUCUGAACCUGAUAUUCUCCAAAUGACAAUUCUCUAACCUAAAUUUAAAAACACAAGCAAAAAAGGACUGAGAAGCUGAGAUGAGGAAGCUCUGUUGGGCAAGUCAAAAUGGGGCCAAUAAUAUUUACUUCACAGGGUUAUUAAAAGAGAUAACAUAUGUAAAGCCCAUAGUUCAGAGCCUGACGCUUAACAGACACUCAACAAGGGAUGUUCUUAUUCUUUUUUUCUUGAGAAACGAGCUAAUCAUUUGAAAUGUAAAAUUUUGUUCAUGGAAUUGCAUAAGAUACCAUUCUAUUUCUACAACUAUUUCUGUAGUCUUAAAUGCCCUGCAUUAAAAGAUUGUUGUUUAAUAUAUUGUACCUCUUUUGCCAUCUAUUUGUUAAAUAUUGGCUGCCUGGUUUCUGAUUUUGCUGAAUUUGACUUUUUUAAAAAAAAACCUAAUUGUUUUCUUCAAGAAUACAAGCCAACAUUGUAAAGGAUGAUUUACUCUAAGAUAAUGCUGAAAGAGAUGUGGUAUGAAAUUUUGUUAAAUUUAUAAGAUAAAUUUGGGAUAUUCUUUUACUGGACAAACUUUUUAUUAAGAAUAUAUUGUUUCUUGAAACACUAAGUUUUGGGAUAAGUUAUUAAAACAAAUUUGGGAGUGGCUUAGUUGGGUGUUUCUCACUUGGAUCUCUCAUGAGAUUGUAAACAAGAUGCUAGCCAGCGCUACAGUCACUUGAUAGCUUGUCUCAGGGAUUUGCUUCCAUUGGUUCAUUCAUGUUCAGGCAAGUUGGUGCUGGCAAUUGUCAGGAGACACCAGUUUCUGGUCAUGUGGAUCUCUUCAUGGGAAGGCUUCAAUGUUUUUAUGUCAUGGCAUUUGACUUGCUCUAGGAUGAGUGAUCUAAGAGACAGGAAGAAGGAACCCACAAUGUCUUUUGUGAUCUAGGCUUGUAAGUCAAACUCUGCCACAACUGAAAUAUCUUACUAGUUACACAGAUCAGCCUUAUUCAGUUUGGGAGGAGACUACACACCAGCUUGAAUACCAGGAAGUGAGAAUCAUUGUGGACGAUCUUGGAUGAUAGUUACUCCCACAUCAGGGUUCUUCUGGCUUAGGCUCAUUUCUCUUAUCUUUCUGUGCAUUCUCUGUGAACAAGCCCAUUCACAUCUAUAGAUUCACAUACCACCUUUAUGCCUAAUUAUUUCCAAAUAUAUAAGUAAGCCCAGAUUUCUCUUCUGUUCUUCAGAUCCCAAUGCAUAAUACUUACAUUUUAUCCAUUCCCCCAACUGGUAUCUACUGAGUAGCCACUAGAAACCCAGCCUUAAACUAGUCUAGACAAAUAGGACAGGCCUUCAGCCCUCAUGGAACUUACAGUUUAGUGAAGCAGGAAGAAAGCAAACAUGUAAAUAAAGAAAAUAUUUACAGCUAGUGGUAAGUUUAGUCAAAGAAAUAUACUGUUGUAAUAAUGAUGGGGGUGGGGCAUGUGAUAGAAGAGGAGAGAGUUGGCUACUUUAGAUGAAGCGGACAAAGAAGGACUCUUUGAAUAAGUGAUAUUUAAGAUGAGACCUGAGAGACAAGAUUUGAAAGAUCGAAAAGAAACCAUUCCAGGCACUGAGAACUAGACUUUAAGUGCAAGCCCUUACUAUAAGUCCAAACAUUCACUAAUCAUCAGAUACCCGGUCUAGACAUCUAAGCACAGUAUUUCUUUUUCAUUAUGUAUCCUUCAGAAUACUAGCUCCCAAAAGUUUCUGUAAAAGACUGAUUUAAUGGGGCUACUGCAUAUUCUCCCCCUCUCUAGGAGACUAACAAUUAUGGUGAACAACUAAAUCUGUACAGUGGUGUCAGGGAAUCUGUUCCAUGGUGUUUACUCAGUGUUUCUAAAUAGAUUUUACCAUAGAACUCUUUUUGUCCCCCUCCGCCCAUAAAACAUGUAUUCCCUCCAUUUUGGGAAACUCCAUUUCAGGCUGAUUUCUCACUCUCCUGAUUCUCAAAUCCCUUGUGCCUUUAUUCCUGGUGCCCUCAGCCAUGGUCCAGUAGCAUCCAUUUCCCUAUCCCAGCUUUUCCUUAAUCCUACCUGGUUACCAUAUUCCAAUGUAUUCUGCUUACUUGCUUUUCCCUGCCACCAUUCGUUGUGUCUCAUCUUUGUUUAUGUCUCUUCUGGCCUCCAGGUUUAUUGGUAACAUUAAAUAUUUUCAUUUUUAUGGUCAUUCUCUAAUAUUUGUUAUUUUCUGGGUUAUAUUAAUGUCUCAAAACUCUCUUUCUUUAUGCCCCAGGGGAGAUAUUGUCUAUAGAAAAUUAGAGAUGCUUAGCAUUAAAUUUAGUUUUAGUUCCUUCUCCAUCUCCCAAUCAGGCACCCUCUCUACAUUAGCCUUACCUGAAAAUUUGAGUGCCAGGGAGUUCAUCAGCUUAGAGAGAAGCCCCCUUCAUUUUUUAUAGCUCCAGUUUUUAGGAAUUUUUUUUGUUUGUUUUUAAGAGACAGGGUCUUGCUAUGUUGCCCAGGUUGGUCUUGAAUUCCUGGGCUCAAGGGAUUCUCCCACCUCAGCUUCCCAAAAUACUGGGAUUACAGGUGUGAGCCAUAGUGCACAGGCUUCUUUGUUGUAUUGAAACCAAACAUGCCUAUCAUUGGUGAACUUACUUUAGUCCUUUUGCGUUAAGUUUUUGUCAUGUCUUUCCUAUACCUUUUCUUUUUCAGAACAACUCUGUAUAUGCUAUUGUUUUAUGACAUUUCAAUUUUUUUUACUCAUUUUAAACUAGUGUAUACAAUGAGAAAGCUCUUUUAUUAGUUAACAGAUGUUAGCAAAACUCAUCCUCACAACUUAAAACUUCUUUCUGCCAAAAGAGCAUUAAAUUUGGUUUGGAUUGCAACUGGUGAUACCACCAUCUAUAUGGCUAGCAGAAAUACUUUAGUGUCCUUGCAAGGCAGUGAGUUGAAGGAGCAGGAGGGAAAGAUGGCAGAGGCUGGAUCAGGAAAUAGAAGUCAGCCACUCAUUGUAACUCUUGGAAAAUUCUGAAUUGGGUAAAGCUUGUUUUGACACUCUUACUUGCUCUUUCUAGACUUCUUUUCCCAAUGCAUGGAUUCCCUUCCUGUUUUUUUCCACUUAAUGUGCACAGAAUAUCUUGCUUUUUUCCUCAGUUAAAACUUGCUUUCAGGAAAGAUUUGGUUUCAGCUGCUUGUAUCUUUGUUGAGAAUAUAACAUACUGUCAUUCUCAAGUGUAUGUACACUUUAAGCACAGUAUUGGUUAGUUACCCAUGUCACUACCUAUGGGUUGAAAGGCAUUGCUCUCUUGUGUGGAAGGAAUUUUAAGCUUCAAAAACUAUGUGAGAGUGAUUUUGGAGGGCUGGAAAAGGGAUUUAUAUUGGUUUUCCUAAAAAUAUACAAAUAUUUCAGCUGCCUGUUUUCUUGCAUUUAAGUCUUGCCUGCAAAUUUCCCUAAAUAUUCUGUUCCCUAAAUAAAUUCUGUAAUGCAUCCUAAGUAUUCUCCCAGGCAGUGUUUCUCAAACUUAUCAAUGAACUUCUGGUAUCAAAGGAGAGUGAAUGCAUAGAGCCCUGGGAACUGAGGGUGUGGCUUUACAGAACAGUGCUCAGAAUGAACCUGAUUCCUUUGUGAAAUUGUUUCCUCUUCUUGCAGACUAAAAAUCAAUUUAAUCCAAAAGAUAGAUGAAAAUGGAGAAUUAUUGUGAAAGUCUUAACCAUAUAGGGCAGUAAUGAAGGCAUAGCAUUAAUCUAGAGAAUAACUAAUCCCUUUUGAUGAAUGGCAUGUAAAUAAAUGCAUUCCAAACAGAUGUUUUUAGGUAUCACAUGCCCACCUUUUAUUGUUUCGGGGUCACUUCAAUACUGAGACAUUUUAUAAAUGAAGCUCUCCUAUACAAUAUAGACUCUCACACAGAGAGAGAGAGUAACUCGAAAUUCAUCACCGAAUUCAACCCAAGAGAAUAUCCUUCUUAACUUGGGAUUCUGUGAAUACACAACUUAAUAUUUCAUUUUGAUAUACAGUCAAGGAUCCUGAAAAGAGAUGAAUAUAAUUUAUACAAAGUCACCUUCAUGCAAAUGGCAAUUUUGGAUGAAAGUGGGAACGCCCAUUUCCUAAUCAUAGUUUCUUCAUUUUUUCCUGGUAGUCCUUGGAGUUCUGACACAAGAUGCUAAUGGUAAAAAUUAAUAUUGGGUGAUAAUAAAUAUAUCCUUGUGAUUUGUCACUUCCCUUUUCUGCUUUUUGAGAUUUUUAUGAUUGUGACCACUACAAAACUGUCCCUAAGGUUAUUUCAGUCUAUAUUAUCUAUGCAUGUAGGUUGGUACAGUACUAUAUAAUUUUACUGCACCUUUUCAACUGAUGACAAUUAUUAUUUAAGACUUUAACUUUAUUAAAGUACAUCUUAAUAUGAUUAAGACACCAUUGUUGAAGACCUGAGCACUUUCAAACUUUUCAAUACGUAUAUAUUAAGAGUCUACGCUGGACAGCAUACAGUACCUAAAGACAAAAUGCUUAAAAUGAAAGUUUAAAAAAAAUACAGUUUAAAAUUCAUGUGAUAAAAAUGUGUGACUCAAGUGUCCAAAAGAAAACUGCUUAUAUUUGCAGACUAAAACCUGUGUUAUUGCUUCCACUAUUUGAAUGAUGAUAAUUAUUAGCCAACAGUUUAAUGAAUCAGCAAUUAAUUAGUGAACACCUGUAAUCUGCAAACCUGGGAAUCAAGGCUUGGAGAGGUAGUAGGGGUUGUAAUCAACAUUUAGGAAGCACUGAUUAUAUUUAUGUUUUACGUUUUCUGGCUAUUUGUUUAAAUGAUUUGUUUAUCUUGAUAAGUGACAUAUUCUUCCCUAUUGACUUUGGGGUUGGCCAUAAAACUUGCUUUGAUGAUUGGAAAAUGGGGAGGAAUGGAAGUAUGCCAGUGAGCUGAGGCAUUAAGAGGCUUCGUUUGUGUCCAUUUGCUCUCUUACUCCAAUUCCUCAGCUCAGCACUGGCUAUUACUUCAGCCUGGUUUUAAAAUAAUAAAGCACGUGGAGCCCCAGCUGAGUGCAGGAGCGCAAGAAUUAUUUGUUCUUGGAAAGUUUUGAGAUAUUGUGGUUGUUUGAUGCAAUCAGUAUAACCUUAGAAAAAUUUUAUAUGUGUACAUUUAAGCUUUAUGUCCAUUAUAUAAGAUACAGUAUUCUCAUUUCACAGAUGAGGAAAUUAAGGAGUCAAAGGGGUUCAGCAUUUUUUUCCAUAGUCUCAUUACUGGGAAGUGGCAGAUCUAACCAGAAUGUCAAAAUAUUUACACUGCACCCUGCUUGGCUAGGGAUGUUCUUUCUCUAUGUAAGGAGAACAGUACCUUUUCUGACUACUCUGAAAUGAAUCAAGAACAAAUCUGUGUGGAAUUUUGGACCAUAAUCAGGAACAAGAAUCUCGGGAAUCCUUGGAAAUAAAAAAUUGUUGCAAUGUGUUUAAAAAUGAGAUAGACGCCGGACACGGUUGCUCGGGCAGAUCACGACGUCAAGAGAUCAAGACCAUCCUGGCCAACAUGGUGAAACCCCGUCUCUACUAAAAACACAAAAAUUAGCUGGGAGUGGUGGCGCACGCCUGUAGUCCCAGCU